rnacentral:lncRNA from 1 species
UUUCUCACUUCCGCUUGUGAGGGAUUCAGGUCGGAGGAAGCAUUUCUAAGGAACAAGCCAGGACUCACGCACUUCAUCUAGGCAGCCUUUAGACACUGCAGAAUUGACAGUGCCAACUAGCAUUGGACUCUUUCAAGAUGAGCUUCCUCUUGCCCAAACUGACCAGCAAGAAAGAAGUAGACCAGGCGAUCAAAAGCACUGCGGAGAAGGUCUUGGUUCUCAGGUUUGGGAGGGAUGAGGAUCCCGUCUGUCUGCAGCUGGAUGAUAUUGAGGAAGGAGCCUGGGGAGUGUCGGCAUCCUAGGUUGUUCGGGUGGCUUGUCGGGAUCUGUAGUUUUUGUUUUGAAGUACUGAGCAUUGAGACUAGACCUCAUGCGCUACCACUAAGCUGUGCUCUCAGCUCAC